rnacentral:rRNA from 1 species
AGAGAGAGACAUGCGCGCAUAUCAAUAAGCGGAGGAAAAGAAACUAACAAGGAUUCCCCUAGUAACGGCGAGUGAAGCGGGAAGAGCUCAAAUUUGAAAUCUUAAAGGGUUUCCCUUUACGAAUUGUAGUUUAAAGAAGUGUUUUCUGUUGAGGUUUUGGUAAAAGUUCUUUGGAAUAGGACAUCAUAGAGGGUGAGAAUCCCGUAUUUGACCAUUACUUUCCAACUUUGUGAUACACUUUCAAAGAGUCGGAUUGUUUGGGAAUGCAGUCCAAAAUGGGUGGUAAAUUUCAUCUAAAGCUAAAUAUUGGCGAGAGACCGAUAGCGAACAAGUACCGUGAGGGAAAGAUGAAAAGAACUUUGAAAAGAGAGUUAAACAGUACGUGAAAUUGUCAAAAGGGAAGCGUUUGACACCAGUGUUGUUUUUCUGAAAAUCAAUUAAAGAACUGUUUAUGCUAAGUUGUUUAGACUUUAUCAGCUAACUGUUUAGUUUUGAGCUUUUCUUUAAUGCACUUUUCAGCUAACAAGUUAACAUCAAUUUCUUUUGCUGUAAAAAAGCUUGAGGAAGGUGGCUUGAGAUUCGUCUUAAGUGUUUAUAGCCUCUUGCCUAUGCAGUCGGAGAGAUUGAGGUCUGCAGCGUAGAUCCUUCGGGGCUAAAUGCAUUUGUGCUAAGUUAUAGCAUUUUAUAGACAACUUGUUGACUAUGAUUUGUCUUGUAGCUUACUCGCUUAUGUUAUUUUACCUACGCUUAGGAUGUUGAGCGCAUGUCUCUCUCU